AUUGAACGCUGGCGGCAUGCCUUACACAUGCAAGUCGAACGGCAGCAUGAUCUAGCUUGCUAGAUUGAUGGCGAGUGGCGAACGGGUGAGUCAUACAUCGGAACGUGCCCUGUAGUGGGGGAUAACUAGUCGAAAGAUUAGCCAAUACCGCAUACGACCUGAGGGUGAAAGUGGGGGACCGCAAGGCCUCAUGCUAUAGGAGCGGCCGAUGUCUGAUUAGCUAGUUGGUGAGGUAAAGGCUCACCAAGGCGACGAUCAGUAGCUGGUCUGAGAGGACGAUCAGCCACACUGGGACUGAGACACGGCCCAGACUCCUACGGGAGGCAGCAGUGGGGAAUUUUGGACAAUGGGCGAAAGCCUGAUCCAGCAAUGCCGCGUGUGUGAAGAAGGCCUUCGGGUUGUAAAGCACUUUUGUCCGGAAAGAAAUGGCUCUGGUUAAUACCUGGGGUCGAUGACGGUACCGGAAGAAUAAGGACCGGCUAACUACGUG
rnacentral:rRNA from 1 species